UACAGAGGUCCCAAGCGUUGUUCGGAUUCACUGGGCGUAAAGGGUGCGUAGGCGGUCGGGUAAGUCUGAUGUGAAAUCUCACAGCUUAACUGUGAAACUGCAUUGGAUACUAUCCGGCUCGAGGAAUGGAGGGGAGACUGGAAUACUUGGUGUAGCAGUGAAAUGCGUAGAGAUCGGGAGGAACAUCAGUUGCGAAGGCGGCUCUCUGGACCAGCACUGACACUGAGGCACGAAAGCGUGGGGAGCAAACAGG
rnacentral:rRNA from 1 species